AGAGAGAGAGAGAGAGAGAGAGAGAGAGAGAGAGAGAGAGAACCAGACAUUCAGAGAGAUAUAAUAAGCAUACAGAGAGAGUGCCAGUCACAGUAGAGGGAAAGAAUGAAGGAACCUGGAGACAGACAGAAGGACUGCAGAGACACAGGUAUGACCAGAGGCGGAGCAGGUGACCAGAAGGGUAAAAUCUAAGCAGUGUCCCUGAGGAGUGGGAAAAGCUGCAGGGGCUUCUCCAGUACCCUAGUUCUGGCUUUUCCUCUUCUCUGCCACCUCCUUCCCACACUGUGGAGCCCUUGGGCCACUAUUCCAGGCCCUGGUUAUUGGUCUGUGGACUCCGGAGAACUGCAAGGACAGUAAGGAGGUUGCUCAACACCGUUCCCCUGGGCCCUGGCGCCCUCUAGUGACUGGUGUCGGGAGGAUAGCCUUCUGGGCCGAGCUCUCAACCUCCCAUCUCUGAAACGGAACUGCCUCACUGUCCAAGGCCAUGGGUUACUUCCUGCUUUAUUGGAUGUCCUGCCAUCGCCCCCCCAACCCCGCACCCCAGUUGGUGCUGGGUCUUCCUCUUCAGGAACCUCCACACCAGGAAUGACUUCCUCCCUACUGUUACAACUGCUCUAGCUGUGUGGCUUGGGCCAGCUGCCGGACUUCUCUGAGCCUUGUGUUCUCCCUGAGUGCAAAGCCAUCUCAGACCAUAAAAGAUGAUGUGAAGGCAAUACCACCAA